UCAAAUCCCACGUCUACUUCUUCCGGGCUGAGAGCAAGUACACAUUUGAAAGGUGGAUGGAGGUGAUCCAGGGGGCCAGCAGCUCAGCCGGGAGGGCCCCAAGCAUCGUGCAGGAUGGCCCCCAACCCUCCUCAGGGCUGGAGGGGAUGGUCAGGGGGAAGGAGGAAUGACGCUCAACCUGCCCAGAGCAGGGUCCCUGCCGAGGACUGGCCUAGAGCAAGCACUGGAAAAGAGGCCCUGCCAUACACCCUGCGUACCCACUGCCAGGACCCUCUCAGACAAGCGUGGCACAGCCAUGCUGACCUUCCAUCUGGUGAACCAAGUGGCAGCCCCAGGGGCCUGCCCUGCAGGUCACAGCUAAACAAGUCUGGCAGAAGCCACGCUUGUUCCCCAUGUACCUCUAGAGAAGCAGAAACCAAAGUCCCCCUGUGCCCUGGGAGGGUGGGGCCGUCUAAUUUAUUACUGCCCAGCAUUCCUUCCAACGGGAAGUAGAUGGGCGACUGCUUUGUUCACACACAUUUGAUUAAAAAUAAACAAACAGCAUCUCCCC
rnacentral:lncRNA from 1 species